GUUCCUCACCAGGGAAAGAGCUCCCAUUAGGGUUCCCCAUCACCUGCUCAUAGCAGCGCAUCCUCUGCUCAUCGCGACAGCCGUCAUCCUAGCUAGCAACGCUCCGUGUGGCGGCGCUCACAGCGCCUGACGGCAUUGACCCUUGCUCCUAGCGUAGGUGGCAAUCGCAUCGCCCUUCCGUGGGCUCGCAGUAGUGGCAUUAUCUAGCAUCGGUUCUCUGCAGCGCCCCAAGCCGACGGUCUCCUAGCUGUGACGACCAUCCCCAUCAGCGACAACCCUCUCGAUGCUCUGUAUGUUUUGGAGGCAAUGCAAGUGGUAUUUUGGAGCAUGUUUUUUUGAUAAUAUGUUUUUUAUUAAAAACAAUCAGAGUACAAGCAGGGGAAAACUUGAGUUGGUGUGCACCUACUUGCGAAAUUGAGUUUGUUGUAUUAUGACUACUAAGGUAGUUGCUGCUGCCUGAUUGUUUGUAUCCAGAUUCACAAUCCACCCUCAUUAGUUGUUGCUGCCAGCUUGUUUGUUAUCCAGAUUCAUAGCUAUAAUGACACAUUAUUUUGGGGGUAGAUGGUGUAUCUUAGUUGUAUGAUUUUUUGACAUCAGUGUAUAUAGUUCACGUUUUUACUUUAGUGUUUAUAAUUUUGCAAAACUUGACACUUGAAUAGAGCAGGGGGUAUAAAGUCUUUGAUCUGCAGAAAUACAAGGACCCAAAGGUACUUGACACUUGAACAGAGCAUCUCUUCCAAUAGACUAUUCUAAAUUUCUAAUGCACCAAUAUUUUUUGUUGUGCUCUACUACAGUAUGGCUAAGAAGGUUGUUUGGGAUAAUGCAAUUUUGAAGCACCUAAUUGACAUUUGUAAGGAGGGGAUUUUAGCUGGUUGGGAUAAUGACCUUUUUUGUUGUGCUUUACUAAAGUGUGACUUCUUAGCUCAAAGGAUGUUCUGAGUUUAUUCUAUGUUUUUGUGUUGGACCAAAUUAUAUUAUCUAUGACUUACAUGUUCUGGUUUUUUGUUUAGAUGCACGAUAAUAUGGAAGACUUAGCAAAAAAGCGUCAUGAAUCUCUUCACUUACUGAAUUAUCACAGCAUGCUGCAAUUCUUGGAAAUUUAGGCACUCUUUACAAUAAACGGUAUUUCCACAAAGGUGAAUAUAGAGAAACAGAAGCUCUAGAGUCUGGUUAUCAAUGGGUCAUGAGAUGUUUGGAUCGUUCAAGAUAUUUUUAUAAGAUGUUUAGAAUGAGCCAUGAUAUUUUUAUGGCACUUCAUGAAAUCGACUCAUAAUGUUACAUCAAUUGAGUCACUGCAAUGUUUCUAUCGAUUGUUGGAGGGCCACAGUCUUUUUCCCGAGUUGAAAACCGUUUUGUACGGUUCACAUGGACAAUUCACAUGAAGUUCAAGGAAGUAUUGAAGUGUUUGCUUAAGUUAGGAAAAGAAAACGUGAAACCAAAGGAUCCAACAUUUAGUUAUGAACAUGAGAAGUUGAAAGAAGAUCGUUUCUGGUAAUAUUUUAAAGGUACCAUUGGAGCAAUAAAUGGAUCAUAUGUUAAGGUAGUUGUGUUGGCUGAUGAGGUUAUUAACUACACUUGUCGCCAUGGAUAUACAUCGUAGAAUGUACUUGCGAUAUGUGACUUUGACAUGAGGUUUACAUUUGUGGUUGUUGGAUGCGGGGUUCUGCACAUGACACACGGAUCCUUAAUCAUGUGUUUGGCAAACUUUUCUUAUUUUCCUGUCCCUCCUAAAGAUAAAUACUACCUUGUGGACUCCAAAUAUCCAAAUCGAGCUGGAUACCUUGCACCUUUCAAGGGUACUACGUACCAUAUAUCGGAAUUUCGUCAUCAUCGUGGAUGUCCACCGUAAGGGAAACAUGAGAUAUUUAACUUCUUGCACUCCUCGCUCCGCUAUGUCAUUGAGCGAGCAUUUGGGGUCCUCAAGAAAAAAUGGCGCAUAUUGAAAGACAUGUCGAGAUUCUCAAUUCAACGAUAGAAGGAGAUCAUUAUAUCUUGUUUUGCAUUACAUAAUUUCAUUCAUGAUAGUAAGUUGCUUGAUAAGGAGUUUGAGAGGUGUGACGCAGAUGAUGAGUACAUGCCUGGAGCAUCAAAUGUUGUGGAUCAAUAUCAAGAUGGUGGUCCUGAGGUAGGGGAGAGAACGAAGUUACUAUGAACACCAUUUAUGAUAGGAUAGCUACUUCACUAGCUAAUGCAAGGAGUGAUUUAAGCUAGUUAUAUAGAUGACAAGUCUUUUCAUAUGAAUGUUGCACUUAUUUACAAAUGUAGCAAUUUAUUUUAUAUGUAGAGAUCAUAUCAUUAUGAUUA